AUUGAACGCUGGCGGCAUGCUUUACACAUGCAAGUCGAACGGUAACAGGCCGCAAGGUGCUGACGAGUGGCGAACGGGUGAGUAAUGCAUCGGAACGUGCCCAGUCGUGGGGGAUAACGCAGCGAAAGCUGCGCUAAUACCGCAUACGAUCUAUGGAUGAAAGCGGGGGACCGUAAGGCCUCGCGCGAUUGGAGCGGCCGAUGUCAGAUUAGGUAGUUGGUGGGGUAAAGGCUCACCAAGCCGACGAUCUGUAGCUGGUCUGAGAGGACGACCAGCCACACUGGGACUGAGACACGGCCCAGACUCCUACGGGAGGCAGCAGUGGGGAAUUUUGGACAAUGGACGCAAGUCUGAUCCAGCCAUGCCGCGUGCGGGAAGAAGGCCUUCGGGUUGUAAACCGCUUUUGUCAGGGAAGAAACGAGUUUCUCUAAUACAGAGACUUAAUGACGGUACCUGAAGAAUAAGCACCGGCUAACUACGUGCCAGCAGCCGCCGUAAAAC
rnacentral:rRNA from 1 species